AGGACGAACGCUGGCGGCGCGCCUAAUACAUGCAAGUCGAGCGAGAAACUCGGGGCUUGCCCCGGGUGGACAGCGGCGAACGGGUGAGGAACGCGUGGGAAUCUGCCCUUAGGUACGGAAUAACUCAGGGAAACUUGUGCUAAUACCGUAUGAAGUCUUCGGACCAAAGAUUUAUCGCCUAGGGAUGAGCCCGCGUUGGAUUAGCUAGUUGGUGGGGUAAAGGCCUACCAAGGCGACGAUCCAUAGCUGGUCUGAGAGGAUGAUCAGCCACACUGGGACUGAGACACGGCCCAGACUCCUACGGGAGGCAGCAGUGGGGAAUAUUGGACAAUGGGCGCAAGCCUGAUCCAGCAAUGCCGCGUGAGUGAUGAAGGCCUUAGGGUUGUAAAGCUCUUUUACCCGGGAAGAUAAUGACUGUACCGGGAGAAUAAGCCCCGGCUAACUCCGUGCCAGCAGCCGC
rnacentral:rRNA from 1 species